AUCCCGCCCCCACUGAAUCUAAGAUGUUUAACUUCUGUGCUGUCCUCUCUGUGAUGUUCCCUUUCUCCUUUUCAACGUAUUAGAAACAUCAGCGCCUUGCCUUCACCCCACCAAGCUUAAGUUGGCCUUAGCUCUCGCUCUGUUACUUGCCGGAGACAUUUUCUAGUUAUGCGGGGGACGGGGGCACUUUGGAGACCUGCCUCGGGAGCUGGACCGCGGGGAGCCUGCAGGCCCAGCCCCUGCUUUGUGGGCUUCUCGCAGUUCUCAGACCGCACACUCCGCCACCUCUGGGUGAUGCGACCUGCCACCCGCGCGUUAGGACGCGCGCGGGUUGGCGGCCAGGACAGCUGGUUGCCAGGGAAGGCGGACAGAGCAGGACAGCAAGCGUCUCGAGGUGACAAGUGCAGAUAGUUCUUCAUUGUUUGGGCAUUUUCCCUUCCUAGCGAAUAAAUCUCCUGUUGAGCCCGGGACCUAAAAGUCAACAAAGAAGGCCAGCCGCCUCGUUACGGCUCCUGCGGCCCCGGCGGCCCGCGUUGCCGCGGCUGCUCCCGCUGCGUAAUCCCUUCCUCGGAAACCCGGACACACAAACACCCGGGCGCCCGGGCUGGGGCGCCGCGCCCCUGGGUCAGGAAGAAAACAUCUGUGGUUCCGAGGGAGUGCGGAGACCCUGCCUGAGGGCGCCGCCUUCCUGCGACCCCCACCCCAUCCCCUUUUCGUCUGGGUGUUUCCACAUUUCUUCACCUCGCCAGCUCCCGAAGACCAGGGCCGGAAAGGGGCUGCUGACCGUCCCGCCGCGGUGCUCCUGCUCGCUGGUCUUAGGAAUUUCGCCCGAGAUGGGGGAGGGGUCCCCGGGGAGGGGAGGGAGGGG
rnacentral:lncRNA from 1 species